rnacentral:rRNA from 1 species
AUACGAAAGGUGCAAGCGUUGUUCGGAUUUACUGGGCGUAAAGAGAGUGUAGGUUGUUUAUUAAGUCGGAUGUGAAAUCCCGGGGCUCAACCUCGGAACUGCAUUCGAUACUGGUAGACUAGAGUUCGGGAGGGGUAAGCGGAAUUCCGUGUGUAGCAGUGAAAUGCGUAGAUAUACGGAGGAACACCUGAGGCGAAGGCGGCUUACUGGACCGAUACUGACACUGAGACUCGAAAGCGUGGGUAGCAAACAGGAUUAGAAACCCCUGUAGUCC